rnacentral:tRNA from 1 species
GGAGGUAUAGCUUAGUGGUAGAGUGUGUGCUUAGCAUGCAGGAGGUCCUGGGUUCAAUCCCCAGCACCUCCA